UACAGAGGGUGCGAGCGUUGUUCGGAAUUAUUGGGCGUAAAGAGCUCGUAGGCGGUUCGUCGCGUCGGCUGUGAAAUCCCGAGGCUCAACCUCGGGUCUGCAGUCGAUACGGGCGGACUGGAGUUCGGCAGGGGAGACUGGAAUUCCUGGUGUAGCGGUGAAAUGCGCAGAUAUCAGGAGGAACACCGGUGGCGAAGGCGGGUCUCUGGGCCGAUACUGACGCUGAGGCGCGAAAGCGUGGGGAGCAAACAGG
rnacentral:rRNA from 1 species